GGGGAAUCUUCCGCAAUGGACGAAAGUCUGACGGAGCAACGCCGCGUGAGUGAAGAAGGUUUUCGGAUCGUAAAGCUCUUUCGUUAGGGACGAACGUGCUCUUUGUGAAUAAUGAGGAGUAAUGACGGUACCUAAAUAAGAAACCACGGCUAACUACGUGCCAGCAGCCGCGGUAAUACGUAGGUGGCAAGCGUUGUCCGGAAUUAUUGGGCGUAAAGCGCGCGCAGGCGGGAUAUCAAGUCUGUCUUAAAAGUGCGAGGCUCAACCUCGUGAGGGGACAGAAACUGGUAUUCUUGAGUGUCGGAGAGGAAAGUGGAAUUCCAAGUGUAGCGGUGAAAUGCGUAGAGAUUUGGAAGAACACCAGUGGCGAAGGCGACUUUCUGGACGAUGUCUGACGCUGAGGCGCGAAAGCUAGGGGAGCGAACGG
rnacentral:rRNA from 1 species